CUUCUCAGUGAAAACAGCAGGGUAUUCUUCCUUCCUGAUUCCUUCCUCGUGCCUUUCCCUGUGACUAGGCCCUGUCUUUAUCCCUUUAGUCUAGGCAGAACUGUGGAGAUGUGCACUGAGUAUUUCUUUGGCUUUGAUGAGUGCCACCUCAGCGGGAACUUCCAUGUGAGGACUGAUGCCCACACCCUCCCAGCUGCCGUCAAUUGAGAUUACAGAUCUGGAAGUUGGGAUGGUGAUAUAGAGACUUUGUCCAGAAGAGUCGGAUGUCCUUCAUCAAAAAAAUAGGAACACAGAACUGCUACGGAGGACAUAGGGCCUCCUACAUUGUAUCUGUUUAGACAGGGGAGGAAAUCCAGAUCAGAUGAGGUUCAGUCUGAAACUGAAGACAAACUAAAGCAUGUGAGCAAGAGCACUGCUGUGCCCCUGCAGGAAGGAGAAGAAGCAGAAGGGAAGGCAGGGAGAGAGAGAAGGAAGAAUUUUUGUCCAGAAACAAAAUGGUGUUGCCAGCAGCUCUGUGGGGGCAUGUGACUCCAAAUCUGACACUCCACCGGUUUCCCACCUGAAGUGGCUCGGUUCACCCCACUGCAUGGGAAGACUGACCCUGAGAACAGAAUGGAGAAAUUCUCCAGGUUUUUCUCGUUGAUCAACUAGUGAAAAACUGAUGUGAUGCAAAACACCUCAUCAGGUUAAAGACAACCCAGAGCAAAAUGGUGUGAGAAGACAAGCAAAAUGGCAAUAGUGCUUGUUUCCCUGUCUACUGUAGUUAGAAAAAUGCAUAACUAAUCUUAAUUCUGCUAGACUCACCACCAUAGCUACAUAGGGCCUGUUGGCAUAAUGUUUAUAUUUAUGUGAGUGGCGUUGAAAGACAUUCAUUAAAUAAAUUACGUU